rnacentral:rRNA from 1 species
AACGAACGCUGGCGGCAGGCUUAACACAUGCAAGUCGAACGCCCCGCAAGGGGAGUGGCAGACGGGUGAGUAACGCGUGGGAAUCUACCCAGAUCUACGGAACAACAGUUGGAAACGACUGCUAAUACCGUAUACGCCCUACGGGGGAAAGAUUUAUCGGAUUUGGAUGAGCCCGCGUUGGAUUAGCUAGUUGGUGGGGUAAUGGCCUACCAAGGCGACGAUCCAUAGCUGGUCUGAGAGGAUGAUCAGCCACACUGGGACUGAGACACGGCCCAGACUCCUACGGGAGGCAGCAGUGGGGAAUAUUGGACAAUGGGCGCAAGCCUGAUCCAGCCAUGCCGCGUGAGUGAUGAAGGCCUUAGGGUUGUAAAGCUCUUUCACCGAUGAAGAUAAUGACGGUAGCCGGAGAAGAAGCCCCGGCUAACUUCGUGCCAGCCGCCGCCGUAAAAC